rnacentral:rRNA from 1 species
AAUGGGCGAAAGCCUGACGCAGCAACGCCGCGUGUGUGACGAAGGCCCUAGGGUUGUAAAGCACUGUGGGAGGGGAAGAAAAAACGGGAGAGUAUCCCGUCUUGACGGUACCCUGUUAGAAAGCACCGGCUAACUCCGUGCCAGCAGCCGCGGUAAUACGGAGGGUGCAANCGUUGUUCGGAAUUAUUGGGCGUAAAGGGCGUGUAGGUGGCACUCCAAGUCUGGUGUGAAAGCCCACGGCUCAACCGUGGAACUGCAUUGGAAACUGGGGAGCUCGAGUGUUGGAGGGGGUCGCGGAAUUCCCGGUGUAGAGGUGAAAUUCGUAGAGAUCGGGAGGAACACCAGUGGCGAAGGCGGCGACCUGGCCAAUCACUGACACUGAGACGCGAAAGCGUGGGGAGCAAA